rnacentral:rRNA from 1 species
GGCGGACGGGUGAGUAACACGUGGGUAACCUACCCAUCAGAGGGGGAUAACACUUGGAAACAGGUGCUAAUACCGCAUAACAGUUUAUGCCGCAUGGCAUAAGAGUGAAAGGCGCUUUCGGGUGUCGCUGAUGGAUGGACCCGCGGUGCAUUAGCUAGUUGGUGAGGUAACGGCUCACCAAGGCCACGAUGCAUAGCCGACCUGAGAGGGUGAUCGGCCACACUGGGACUGAGACACGGCCCACACUCCUACGGGAGGCAGCAGUAGGGAAUCUUCGGCAAUGGACGAAAGUCUGACCGAGCAACGCCGCGUGAGUGAAGAAUGUUUUCGGAUCGUAAAACUCUGUUGUUAGAAAAGAACAAGGACGUUAGUAACUGAACGUCCCCUGACGGUAUCUAACCAGAAAGCCACGGCUAACUACGUGCCAGCAGCCGCGGUAAUACGUAGGUGGCAAGCGUUGUCCGGAUUUAUUGGGCGUAAAGCGAGCGCANGCGGUUUCUUAAGUCUGAUGUGAAAGCCCCCGGCUCAACCGGGGAGGGUCAUUGGAAACUGCGAGACUU